UACGUAGGGCGCAAGCGUUGUCCGGAAUUAUUGGGCGUAAAGAGCUCGUAGGCGGUUUGUCGCGUCUGCUGUGAAAACUCGAGGCUCAACCUCGGGCUUGCAGUGGGUACGGGCAGACUAGAGUGCGGUAGGGGUGACUGGAAUUCCUGGUGUAGCGGUGGAAUGCGCAGAUAUCAGGAGGAACACCGAUGGCGAAGGCAGGUCACUGGGCCGCAACUGACGCUGAGGAGCGGAAAGCAUGGGGAGCGAACAGG
rnacentral:rRNA from 1 species